UACGAAGGGGGGCUAGCGUUGUUCGGAAUUACUGGGCGUAAAGCGCGCGCAGGCGGUCUUCCAAGUCGAGGGGUGAAAUCCCGGGGCUCAACCCCGGAACUGCCUUUGAUACUGAUAGUCUCGAGUCCGGAAGAGGUGAGUGGAAUUCCGAGUGUAGAGGUGAAAUUCGUAGAUAUUCGGAGGAACACCAGUGGCGAAGGCGGCUCACUGGUCCGGUACUGACGCUGAGGUGCGAAAAGCGUGGGGAGCAAACAGG
rnacentral:rRNA from 1 species